rnacentral:rRNA from 1 species
CGUAGGUGAACCUGCGGAAGGAUCAUUAAUGAAAUUAUAAUCCGGCGAGGGGAAAGGCGGAGAGUUGUAGCUGGCCUCUAGGGGCAUGUGCACGCUCUCUUCCGGACCUUUCGCCGUAUGGGCGCGGGGCGACCCGCGUCUUCAUACACCUCUUCGUGUAGAAAGUCUUUGAAUGUUUUACCAUCAUCGAGUCGCGACUUCUAGGAGACGCGAUUCUUUGAGAAAAAAGUUAUUACAACUUUCAGCAACGGAUCUCUUGGCUCUCGCAUCGAUGAAGAACGCAGCGAAUCGCGAUAUGUAAUGUGAAUUGCAGAUCUACAGUGAAUCAUCGAAUCUUUGAACGCACCUUGCGCUCCUCGGUGUUCCGAGGAGCAUGCCUGUUUGAGUGUCAGUAAAUUCUCAACCCCUCUCGAUUUGCUUCGAGCGGGUGCUUGGAUGUUGGGGGCUGCCGGAGACACUGGAUUCGUCCAGGACUCGGGCUCCUCUUAAAUGAAUCGGCUCGCGGUCGACUUUCGACUUUGCAUGACAAGGCCUUUGGCGUGAUAAUGAUCGCCGUUCGCCGAAGUGCAAGACAGAAUGGUCCCGUGCCUCUAAUGCGUCGACGCCUCUAGGGGCGUCUUCCUCAUUGACGUUUGACCUCAAAUCAGGUAGGACUACCCGCUGAACUUUAAGCAUAUCAUA